rnacentral:rRNA from 1 species
UAAGGAAUAUUGGUCAAUGGACGCAAGUCUGAACCAGCCAUGCCGCGUGGAGGAUGACGGUCCUCUGGAUUGUAAACUUCUUUUAUCUGGGACGAAACACUUCUUUUCUAAGAGGCCUGACGGUACCAGAUGAAUAAGCACCGGCUAACUCCGUGCCAGCAGCCGCGGUAAUACGGAGGGUGCAAGCGUUAUCCGGAUUCACUGGGUUUAAAGGGUGCGUAGGUGGGUAUGUAAGUCAGUGGUGAAAUCCCCGAGCUUAACUUGGGAACUGCCGUUGAUACUAUAUGUCUUGAAUAUCGUAGAGGUAAGCGGAAUAUGUCAUGUAGCGGUGAAAUGCUUAGAGAUGACAUAGAACACCAAUUGCGAAGGCAGCUUGCUAUGCGAUUAUUGACACUGAGGCACGAAAGCGUGGGUAGCAAACA